AUACCCGCUCCGCGAGUGGUGGGGACUUUUACUGGGCUUAAAGCGCCCGUAGCCGGCUGGGUGUGUCCUCCGUUAAAUCCACAGGCCUAACCUGUGGGCUGCGGGGGAUACUACCCGGCUUGGGGGUGGGAGAGGGCGGCGGUAUUCCCGGGGUAGGGGCAAAAUCCACUGAUCCCGGGAGGACCACCAGUGGCGAAGGCGGCCGCCCAGAACACGCCCGACGGUGAGGGGCGAAAGCUGGGGGAGCAAACGGGAUUAGAUACCCUAGUAGUCC
rnacentral:rRNA from 1 species